rnacentral:tRNA from 1 species
GAAGAGCGACGCCCCCGGUGGGGUGCCUGGUCUUCAAAACCAGUGAGGUGCCAUUGCGGUGCCUGGUGGGUUCGACUCCUACCUCUU